rnacentral:rRNA from 1 species
GGUUAAGUUACAAAGGGCGCACGGUGGAUGCCUUGGCACUAGGAGCCGAUGAAGGACGGAACUAAUACCGAUAUGCUUCGGGGAGCUAUAAGUAAGCUUUGAUCCGGAGAUUUCCGAAUGGGGGAACCCAGUACACAUCAGUGUAUUGCUUGUCAGUGAAUACAUAGCUGGCCGGCGGCAGACGCGGGGAACUGAAACAUCUCAGUACCCGCAGGAAGAGAAAGAAAACUCGAUUCCCAUAGUAGCGGCGAGCGAAGUGGGAAGAGCCCAAACCGAGAAGCUUGCUUCUCGGGGUUGUAGGACUGGACAUUGGAGUUACCAAAGUCCGACGUAGUCGAAGUCAGCUGGAAAGCUGCGCCACAGAAGGUGAAAGCCCUGUAAGCGAAACGUCGAACCCUCCGUCCAGGAUCCUGAGUACGGCGGAACACGUGAAAUUCCGUCGGAAUCCGGGAGGACCAUCUCCCAAGGCUAAAUACUCCCUAGUGACCGAUAGUGAACCAGUACCGUGAGGGAAAGGUGAAAAGCACCCCGGAAGGGGAGUGAAACAGUUCCUGAAACCGUGUGCCUACAAUUAGUCAAAGCCCGUUAAUGGGUAAUGGCGUGCCUUUUGUAGAAUGAACCGGCGAGUUACGUUUGCUUGCGAGGUUAAGAUGAAAAGUCGGAGCCGUAGCGAAAGCGAGUCUGAACAGGGCGAAUGAGUAAGCAGAUGUAGACCCGAAACCAAGUGACCUACCCAUGACCAGGUUGAAGGUGUGGUGAAACACACUGGAGGACCGAACCCAUGUAUGUUGAAAAAUGCUGGGAUGAGUUGUGGGUAGCGGUGAAAUUCCAAACGAACUUGGAGAUAGCUGGUUCUCUCCGAAAUAGCUUUAGGGUUAGCCUCGGAGGAUGGAUCAUGGAGGUAGAGCACUGUUUGAACUAGGGGCCCAUCAAGGGUUACUGAAUUCAGAUAAACUCCGAAUACCAUCGAUCUUACUCCGGGAGUCAGACAGUGAGCGAUAAGGUCCAUUGUCGAAAGGGGAACAGCCCAGAUCACCAGUUAAGGUCCCUAAAUUUAUGCUAAGUGGAAAAGGAUGUGGCGUUGCACAGACAACUAGGAUGUUGGCUCAGAAGCAGCCACCAUUUAAAGAGUGCGUAAUAGCUCACUAGUCGAGUGGCACUGCGCCGAAAAUAUACCGGGGCUAAGCAUAAUACCGAAACUGUGGGUGCACNNNNNNNNNNNNNNNNNNNNNNNNNNNNNNNNNNNNNNNNNNNNNNNNNNNNNNNNNNNNNNNNNNNNNNNNNNNNNNNNNNNNNNNNNNNNNNGCGCCCGUAAGGGUGCGCGGUAGGAGAGCGUUCUAAGGGCGUUGAAGGUCGAUCGUGAGGACGGCUGGAGCGCUUAGAAGUGAGAAUGCCGGCAUGAGUAGCGAAAGAUCAGUGAGAAUCUGAUCCACCGUAUGACUAAGGUUUCCUGGGGAAGGCUCGUCCUCCCAGGGUUAGUCGGGAUCUAAGGCGAGGCCGAGAGGCGUAGUCGAUGACAAGCAGGUUGAGAUUCCUGCACUAGUUUAUUUUGUUUAAGCGAUGGAGGGACGCAGGAGGCUAAGGAAAGCGCACGGCUGGAAAUGUGCGCCCAAGCAGCAAGUCUGACAGCGAGUGAAAUGCUUGCAGUCUUAAGGACAAGCUGUGAUGGGGAGCGAAAUUAUAGUAGCGAAGUUCCUGAUGUCACACUGCCAAGAAAAGCUUCUAGUGAGAAAUAAACUACCCGUACCGCAAACCGACACAGGUAGUCGAGGAGAGUAUCCUCAGGUGAGCGAGCGAACUCUCGUUAAGGAACUCGGCAAAAUGACCCCGUAACUUCGGAAGAAGGGGUGCUGACCGCAAGGUCAGCCGCAGUGAAUAGGCCCAAACAACUGUUUAUCAAAAACACAGGUCUCUGCUAAAUCGUAAGAUGAUGUAUAGGGGCUGACGCCUGCCCGGUGCUGGAAGGUUAAGAGGAUGAGUUAGCGCAAGCGAAGCCCAGAAUUGAAGCCCCAGUAAACGGCGGCCGUAACUAUAACGGUCCUAAGGUAGCGAAAUUCCUUGUCGGGUAAGUUCCGACCCGCACGAAAGGCGUAAUGAUUUGGGCACUGUCUCAACGAGAGACUCGGUGAAAUUAUAGUACCCGUGAAGAUGCGGGUUACCCGCGACAGGACGGAAAGACCCCAUGGAGCUUUACUGUAGCUUGAUAUUGAGUGUUUGUACCGCUUGUACAGGAUAGGUAGGAGCCGUAGAGAUCGGAACGCUAGUUUCGAUGGAGGCGUUGGUGGGAUACUACCCUAGCUGUAUGAACACUCUAACCCGCGCCACUAAUCGUGGCGGGAGACAGUGUCAGGUAGGCAGUUUGACUGGGGCGGUCGCCUCCUAAAAUGUAACGGAGGCGCCCAAAGGUUCCCUCAGAAUGGUUGGAAAUCAUUCGCAGAGUGUAAAGGUAUAAGGGAGCUUGACUGCGAGACUGACAAGUCGAGCAGGGACGAAAGUCGGGCUUAGUGAUCCGGUGGUUCCGUAUGGAAGGGCCAUCGCUCAACGGAUAAAAGCUACCCUGGGGAUAACAGGCUUAUCUCCCCCAAGAGUCCACAUCGACGGGGAGGUUUGGCACCUCGAUGUCGGCUCAUCGCAUCCUGGGGCUGUAGUCGGUCCCAAGGGUUGGGCUGUUCGCCCAUUAAAGCGGUACGCGAGCUGGGUUCAGAACGUCGUGAGACAGUUCGGUCCCUAUCCGUCGCGGGCGCAGGAAAUUUGAGAGGAGCUGUCCUUAGUACGAGAGGACCGGGAUGGACGUUCCGCUGGUGUACCAGUUGUGCCGCCAGGCGCAUCGCUGGGUAGCUAUGAACGGCAGGGAUAAACGCUGAAAGCAUCUAAGUGUGAAGCCCCCCUCGAGAUGAGAUUUCCCAUUCCUAUAUGGAAGUAAGACCCCUGAGAGAUGAUCAGGUAGAUAGGCUGGAAGUGGAAGUGCAGCGAUGCAUGGAGCGGACCAGUACUAAUCGGUCGAGGACUUAACCAA